rnacentral:rRNA from 1 species
AAACGUAGGAGGCUAGCGUUAUCCGGAUUUAUUGGGCGUAAAGCGCGUGCAGGCGGUUUGUCAAGUUGGAUGUGAAAGCUCCUGGCUUAACUGGGAGAGGUCGUUCAAAACUGACAGACUAGAGAAUGGGAGAGGGAGGUGGAAUUCCGGGUGUAGUGGUGAAAUGCGUAGAUAUCCGGAGGAACACCAGUGGCGAAAGCGGCCUCCUGGACCACUUCUGACGCUAAGACGCGAAAGCUAGGGUAGCAAACGGGAUUAGAGACCCCGGUAGUCCUAGCCGUAAACGAUGUAGACUUGGCGUUGGCGGAGUUAAAUCUGCCAGUGCCGUAGCUAACGCGAUAAGUCUACCGCCUGGGGACUACGACCGCAAGGUUAAA